UGCUCCAGGCAAACAAAAAUGGAUGUUACAAGGGGGUUCCUGUCUGACUACACCCUCCCAUGGAGUGGAUGUUUCCAGGGAACUUACCACCAGGAUUCCAGGAUCUUGUCUUGCGUGGCCCCCCUGGCGGUGGACGCGAGCGUCCGCGAGAUCCUGGAGGUGCUGCCCACGCUCUCCGAGAAGGACAACGGGGCCUUUGUCAGCUGGGAAGGGAAAGUUCUUCCCUGGUGAGACGCCCCCCGGCCCUGCGACAAGAGCCCUGGGCCAGGCCGACCCAGCGACCGCGCCUCAAUAAACCUGUUGGAACGCAGCA